CUCUCUCUCUCUCUCUCUCCGCGGUAUAUGCUUCUGGCAUCUCCUCAUUAUCCUCCCCCCGCCCUCCGCCCUCUUCUUCCUAUCCCCCUCUCCCUCCAUUGCCAAUCUCUCUUUUUCUCUCUCUCUAAACAGCCAUGGCGCGCGCACCUCCAGUCCUUCACCAGAACAACAGGAGCCUUUUUUUGUUUUUCCACUCCAGCGGUGCUCCUCACUCUCUCUUCAAAGCUUCCAAAGCUCUUCAUUUAAAAAACCCUCUUCCUUCACUCUCUUUUUCUCAUUCAUCAUUGUCGUCGUCGUCCUCUAUAAUCACGCGCGUCUCGACAGCUCCGACCAAGUGCGCCCCGCCGGAACCGGACUUCGAUUUCCGCCGAGAAAUCGCUCGGCUUCGCAGUCUGCGGUCGAGGCUUUCCAAUUUGAGUAGUGUCGAGGAGAAAUUUCGAGUGAUCGAUGGUGAUUCUCGAGUGAGAGAUUUUUUCGGUGGUUAUCGGAAGGGGUUUGCUAGGGUUUUAGCUCCGCUCGGAUUGGAUUCCUACGAGCUGUUCCUGCUUAAGUGCGUGGUUGCGGCGGGGCAAGAACACGUACUCUGCGCGCCCUGGGAUUGUGCCCAGGGCGAAUUCGAGUCCGCGAGAGGUUCGUUAAAGAGUGCGCUUUGCGCUUUGGUGGAGAUGAUUGAGAAGUGGGAUGUAAAUGGUGGCAGCGAAGGUUUGACGAAGACAAAUGGUUCGUGUUUGGAGGAAGAAGAAAUUGAAGCGUUGAAGAAACUGUUGAAGACUCUAGCAGACAUUGAACAGUUCUAUGACUGCAUUGGGGGGAUUAUUGGGUAUCAGAUAGUGGCACUAGAGCUUCUUGCCCAAUCAACAAUUGAACGGCAAGCCAUAAAUUGGUCCCAGCACAUUAAUGAGUCAAUGAAAUGCCAAUUUUUAGAGAUUCAUCGUCCUGAUGGACUUGACCUUUCCCAAAACAAAGAGUAUGCAUCCCAGGCAGUCCUAUGGGGCAUUGAGGGUUUGCCAGACUUGGGUGAAAUUUAUCCUCUGGGAGGCUCUGCCGACAGGCUUGGUUUGGUUGAUCCUGACACAGGUGAAUGCCUUCCUGCUGCAAUGCUUCCUUACUGUGGACGAACUUUACUGGAAGGUCUGAUCAGAGAUCUUCAGGCUAGGGAGUUCUUGUACUUCAAGAUGUACGGAAAACAAUGUGUCACCCCUAUUGCAAUUAUGACAAGUUCAGCAAAGAACAACCACAAACACAUUACUUCACUUUGUGAAAGACUCAAAUGGUUUGGAAGAGGUCAAUCAAGUUUCCAACUUUUUGAACAGCCUCUUGUUCCAGCUGUUAGUGCAGAAGAUGGUAAUUGGCUGGUCACUGAACGCUUUACCCCAUUAUGCAAGCCUGGUGGUCAUGGUGUGAUAUGGAAACUUGCACAUGACAAGGGUGUCUUUCAGUGGUUUAAUGAUCAUGGAAGAAAAGGUGCAACUGUUAGACAAGCAAGUAAUGUGGUGGCUGCUACAGAUUUGACACUCUUGGCAUUGGCGGGUAUUGGUUUACACCAUGGAAAGAAACUGGGGUUUGCAUCCUGCAAGCGGAAUUUGGGGGCUACAGAGGGAAUUAAUGUUCUCAUGGAGAAAAAAAAUCUUGAUGGGAGCUGGACAUAUGGUUUAUCAUGCAUUGAGUACACUGAGUUCGAUAAGUUUGGAAUUUUGGAUGGAUUUUGUUCUCCUGACAGCUUGCAGGCAGAGUUUCCUGCCAAUACAAAUAUUCUCUAUGUGGAUUUGUCUUCUGCAGAGUUAGUUGGAUCUUGUAAUGAUGAAACCAGUUUACCAGGCAUGGUGCUAAAUAUUAAGAAGCCUGUUGUAUAUGAGGACCGUUAUGGAAUCCAACAGAGUGUAUUGGGAGGCAGGCUGGAAUGCACAAUGCAAAAUAUUGCAGAUAACUUUUUCAAUGCAUAUUCCUCUCGAUGUUAUAACGGGGUGGAGACAGAUGAGCUAGACACUUUUAUUGUGUAUAAUCAACGUAGAAGGGUAACAUCUUCUGCUAAGAGGAAAAGGGGACAUGCAGACAAGUCCUUGCACCAGACUCCAGAUGGAUCACUGCUGGAUAUUAUGCGAAAUGCCUAUGAUCUGUUGUCCGCUUGUGCUAUAAAAAUUCCUGAGCUCGAAGGUAAUGACAAAUAUGUAGAUUCUGGGCCACCAUUUCUUAUCCUUCUCCAUCCUGCCUUGGGCCCACUUUGGGAGGUCACCAGACAAAAGUUUUUUGGUGGUUCCAUUUCCAAGGGCUCUGAGUUGCAGAUUGAGGUGGCAGAGUUCAUGUGGAGAGAUGUUCAGCUUGAUGGAAGCAUGAUAAUUGUGGCUGAAAACAUUAUGGGCUCAAGUAAGAUUAAUGAAAAGGGGGAGCCCAUUCUACAGUAUGGGCACAGAUGUGGAAGAUGUAAGUUACAGAAUGUCAAAGUAUUGAAUGAUGGAAUUUACUGGAAUUCUGGAGAUAAUAUAUAUUGGAAGCAUGAUGUGAAGCGGUUUGAGGCGUUAAAGGUCAUACUGCAUGGAAAUGCUGAAUUUGAGGCAAUUGAUUGCAUCAUACAGGGAAAUCAUGUAAUUGAAGUUCCAAAUGGCUACAAAUUGAGUAUUAUGUCAGGCAAUCCAGGUUUUUCAGCCCAGUUAAAACCUAUUGAACAGGAUAUGAUGGAUUGCGGAAGCUGGUUCUGGAAUUACAAGAUAAAGGACGGGCACGUUCAGUUGGAAUUGAUAGAGUUGUAACAUAGUGAGAUAGUCGGAGCCAGAGGUCACUGUUAUAUUAAAGGACGCAUUUUGUGCUGACAUGGAAAUGAAAUCUGGCUACUAUUGACUCCAUGGAUGCCUCUUUUUGUUGCAUCAUCAGCUAUUGGGCUCUGUACUCUCAAUAGAUGUUGUUGAACCAGCUUUGUGCAGUAAGGUUGGCUGUAAAGUUGGUCUAGCUGCAAUUUCAGUUAGGUCCACCGUACUUUGUUUGUGUUGGGAAGUGGCCCAGCUUAAUUGUGCUUGAUUCCUGGGGGUCCUGCUCUAAGAUUGGUCUCCCAACUAUUUCUGGCGGUGGGGCACAAAAGGCUGAACCCUUUCUUGAUACAGUUACCCAGAAAUUCAACAUGGUCUUGGUUCAAUGGUUCAACUCAGCUAUCAUCAGGAAAAUGGUUUAAUGACUGAAAAAAACGUCCUAUCAGUUGGAAAUAAAGGCUUGGAAUCAUUUGCGAUGAUAAGUUGACACUAUUAAUUUAUGUACUUUGCAUUAAUUUAUGCUCCCACGAUAUGGAAAUAAAGGCUUGGACUCAUCUGCAGAAACAAGUGAAUAUAAUAUUGAUUUAUUCAGUUUCCCACUGUUCACAAUGGAAUCUUCUAACAGCCUCUGUUAUCCAAAAGGACUUCGCAAUUGAGAGCAAAUUCUAUUAACCCAAGUAAUGCUUCAGCAUCUCUUCGAGCUUUCAGAGAUGCAUUCAUAGUUGUUCUUUCAAGUGAAUGAAUACUUUGGGGAUUAAUUAAUAUAUGUCUAGGAACCCCCUCUCUUUCAUCUUUGCACAGACCGAAAAGAAGAGUUACUGAAUUUUCCUUCCCUCUGGGCGAUCCAAAUCUUAGCAUAUCAAUGAGAAGAGGCACCCGAACCACAUUCUCUUCCUCAUCUCCUCUAGCCCUUCAGAGCACCCUAAAAGUAAAGCAAGCAGUGUCAGUGCGUAGCCUGUGAUCCCUGCCUUGUCAUCUGUCAGCAGGCCAACAAGCAAAGGAACUGCCCCAGCAGCCACAGCAUUUGUCUUGUAGGUUUGUGAACUGCUAAAUUGUUGAUUGAUGUCACAGCAUCUCUUUUUCCAGCCAUGGUGUCUUCUUGCAGGAGAACCACCAAGUUUGGAAUAACUCGAGGAUGUGCUCCGAUGGUCAACUUCCACUCAUCUAUUGUUGAAGCUGAAGAUUGCUGCUGCUGCAUUUUCUCUUGCCUCCAUGCUUUUCCCCGAUUUUAAAAUAUCUAUGAUGUAGUCAAUUACACCAGCUGCCAUUGUUAAAGUCGUACUGUAAUAAAAAGGGAGUGGUCGAGUCAGGCUGUCACUGCAUCUUUAUGAAUUCUUGGGUUGUUUGAAUGUAGUAAUGUCACCAGGAAUGGAAUGGCCCCAACCUUAGCAAUUACCCUGCAUUUCUCCACACCAGUUUUUUCUAGCACACGAAGUUCAGAGGCUGCCUGCUAUUGGAUUUCCAGUGACCCAGCUGCUAGUUUUCCCACCAGGAUUUCAGCUAUCAUUUUGACAGCAUCCAUGGCAGCUUUUGUGGAUGAAAUAUGAUUGACGCCAAUCUGACAUAGUUUUCUAUUGCUGCUGCUCCUGUUUGAAUAUGGGCAAGAUGAAGAUACAGUGUCAGUUAAUGAAAUAUUGUUCUCUUGGAGCCAUUGAUGGACUAGACUCUUCAAUGCAUAAUUGGGCAUGAGGACCAUGUGAUCCAGUUUCUGUCCACUCUGGGGGCAUGUGUGAUGGCCAGAAUUGAUCCACCAGGCUGUUGGGUUCUGAUCAAAUGCGUGCUCAGAUGCCACAAUCACUGGAUCUUUCAUCAAGUCAAGUGAAAUCAGGCAGCAGAAUUCGGUAGGGAUGUGAGAACCAUAGAUUGAGAAUAAAAGGAAUAAUCAUCUAUUUAAGCUUGCAGACUGCUGUUUAGAGUGUUUUUGAGUUUUCCAUUGAUUUUGUUCAUCACUAAAAAUCAUAGACUAGGGAUAUGAAAGGGAGAUUAAGCUGUUGAUAUUGGAAAUCGCAGUCAGUAUGCCUGUGCCUGCCUGCUUCUGGACUUCUGUCUCCAACUUAGGAAUUUCUCCCUCAUAAUCAAAGGGUCUCAACUCUCAAAUCAAUGAUGCUUACAAUCUCUUGUACUCUCUGAAAAUCAAUGAAGCUUUUUUUAUUGCUCUUAUGUUCAUUGUUGUUGGCAAUUACUUGGAGGAGCUCCUCUCUUUUUUGAAUCUCUCGAGUCAAUAAGCAAAUCUGCCCUUUUCACUUGCAUCUGAAGAAGCACAAUUUGCUCUCUAACGCCUGUUGUUCUGUUAAGCAAGCUCAGGGGGCGAAUGUCUAGUGCCCUCCACAAAUCCUUCCCUUAGACAUGAAAUUGCAUUGAAAUGUGUUUAUUCCACACAAGGCUCCACAAAGUGCUAGCUUCCAAGCACCCUUGGAUCAAUAAUUUCACUCUUUAGAAUUAUGGAAAAUAUCUCGGUGAAGCACAGUAUUGAAGAAAUUUUCAGAGUAUUGAAGAAAGAGGAAGUGGAUUACUUGUAUUUUGAAUCUCUUCAAAUAGAGAAGAAAGAAGGUUUGAUCCUUCUUAUCAUGGUUGAGAUGUUCUUUAUCUGUACAGAGGGAAGCUUUUCCAUGGGUGAAAAAAAUUUCAUUGGAGAAAGCCCGAAAGGAUCAUGAGGAGGGGAUGAGCAGGUUCCGUUGGUUCUCAGUGUCUAAGAUAUGAAACAAUCAAACGGCUGCUAAGAGGAGAACUUUUGGGUUGCUGCUGCCACUUGGAGUAAAGUCUAGCCUUGUUUGCUAAGAUAUGAAACACUCACAUGGCUGCUAAGAGGACUUUUGGGUUGCUGCUGCCAUUUGGAGGAAAGUCUAGCCUUGUAUGGUGAGUUUUAUUUUACCAUGCCAGUUUAAUAUUCAAAACAAAUAUUUAAGUAGUAUUCUCAAUGUCCUUGUUCCUGUUUCUAGUUUUUACUGCCUCCUUAGCUAGGAAGGGUUGGUCUUAUGUGGGCUUGCUCUUGCCUGGAACAUAUGAGUUACAUACAGAUGCCCGUUAAAAAAUAUAUAUUAUGUUUAUUUUUACCGUUGUAAUGGAUCUAUUCCAGUACAAAGUUCUUAAUUCAACUUACAUUUUCUUUUUUUUUUU